ensembl:lncRNA
UAGCGUUCUGUAUGUGUUAGUGGUGUGUGUGUGUGUGUGUGUGUGUGUGUGUGUGUGUGUGUGUGUAUGGGUGUGAAUGUGUAUUAUAUUGCAUACGAGUGUAUGAGAGAUUGUUUUGGCCAUGUGUGUGUUUGGGUGCAUUUGCAUAUAGAAAUAAUAAUAAUAAUAAUAAUAAUAAUAACUCCUUAUAUUUAUAUAGUACUUUUCUAGACACUCAAAGUGAUUUACAUUGUAUGGUGUGUGUGUGUGUGUGUGUGUGUGUGUGUGUGUGUGUGUGUGUGUGUGUGUGGAGGAGUAGCAUCCACCUGGAUGAUGUGACGGAAGUGUAGUGCGCCAGAACGCCCACCACACACCAGCUAUUAGUGGAGAGGAGAGAGUGAUGUAGCCAGUUCAGGGAUGGAGAUUAUUAAGGGGCCAUGAUAGCUAAGGGCCAAUGGGGGAAUUUCACCAGGACACCAGGGUUAUACCCCUACUCCUUUAUGAGCUGUGUGGUGGGAUUUUUACUAACCACAGAGAGUCAGGACCUCUGUUUAACGUCUCACCCAAAAGACCGUACAACGAAAGAUGUGUAUUUGUGUGUUUGUUUUGUUUGUGUAUGUGAGUGGGCAUGUGUGUAUGUCUAUGCACGCAUGUGUAUGUUAGUUUUAUGUGUGAGUGAGUGUGUGUUUAUAUGUGUCUGUUUGUGUGUGUGUGUGUGUGUGUGUUUGGUUGCACACGUGUAUGUGCAUUUGUGUGGGUGUGCAUUGUAUCUCUGCAUGUGAGUGUAUGAGAGGUUUUUUUGUUCAAGUGCAUUUUUGUGUAUAUGUUCUGUGUGUGUGUGUGUGUUUGGGUGCAUAUAUGUGUGUAUGUAUGCAUGUGCAUUUGUGUUGUGUGUGUUUGUGUAUAUGAGUGUGCAUGUGUGUGUGAGCGAGUGUGUGUGUGUAUAUUUGUGUGUGUGUAUGUGUAUAUAUGUGUGUAGAUUUUCUGUGUGUGUUUACGUGUGUAUAUUUGUGUGUGUAUAUAUGUGUGUGUAUCUUUUCUCUGUGUGUGUAGAUUUUGUGUGUGUAUAUGUGUGUAGACUUUCUGUGUGUAUGUGUGUAGAUUUUUUGUGUGUGUGUAAGUGUGUUUGUGUGAGUGUGUGUUUAUGUGUGUGAGUGUGUAUUUAUAUGUGUGUGUUUGUAAGUGUGUGUUUAUAUCUGUGUGUGUGUGUGUGUGUGUGUAAGUGGGUUUUUAUAUGUGUGUGCGCUUGUGUGUCCGUGCGUGUGAGUGUGUGUGUGUGAGAGUAAGGGUGUGUUAUGUGUGUGUGUUUGUAAUUGUGUGUUAAUAUGUGUGUGUUUGUGUGUGUUUAUGUGUGUGUAUGUGUGUGUGAGUGUAAUUGUGUGUUCAUAUAUGUGUGUGUAAGUGUGUGUGCGUGCGUGUGUGUAUGCGUGUGCGUGUGUGUAUGCAUGUGCGUGUGCGUGUGUGCGCGCGUGUGUGUGUGCAUAUGUGUGCGUGUGUGUGUGUGUGUGUGUGUGUGUGUGUGUGUGUGCACGUGUGUGCGUGUGUGUGUGUGUGUGUGUGUGUGUGCGUAUGUGUGUGUCUUCUGAGGGCGUGGGUACGCUGUACGCGGGUGGUUAAGCUGUUAGCCUCAGAUGAAUGCAGGGGGAGCUCAGUCUCCUCUUUGAAGUGUGACAGGAGGAGGGGGAUGUUACCACGCCCACCAGGAGGGGCCUGCAGAGAGGGAGAAACUUUCGCCCUGUUUUUGUGAGGAACACUAGAGGUCCAGCUUGAGUCUCAGAUGCUCCGUUUUAAUUCUUACACUAAUUAUUCACCGGUCCUACAGCAAUGCCAGGGCUUCCUGCUUCCUGCUCCGCUUUACACUGUGAUGCAGUGCGCAGGCUGGAAAGAGUAACAGCAACACACACACACACACACACACACACACACACACACACACACUUAUGUACUCACGAUGCCACUACACACCAUUGCUUAGGAGUUUUUUAAAGUAUGAAUGAAAUCAUGUCUGUACAGUUUCUGUUGUUUAUGCUUACAUUUGUGUCAGUGAGGGCUGAAUGGGGGAACUCCCUUUUCACGCAGACCUCCCAGUGUGUGUUUCUCUCCCUGUCCACACACACACACACACUCUCCGAGGCAUGCUAGGUCGUGUCCGGGACCCACCUCAAAGGGAAACGGAGGCCCAGGUGUGCAGCAGGGGUUGGGGCUGGGACGGGUACAGACAGGCCUCGUCCCAAUCCACUGACAAGCGAAGACACUGCCUUGUUCUUCCUCGACAGACUGAGCGGAAGGCUCGGUUAAAAGAUAUCUGUGUUCAUAUCUUAUCCUUAACCCUGCCCCUGGAGCCGGUGAAUCCUUUUGGUCAAGACCAAGAUUUGCUCAGCUGUUUCAUUGGGCCAGUGUUUGAAUCAGAUAAACGCUGGUUCUUCUUCCAGCACAUUUUUGGGAAGUGGGAGGAAACCUGAAAACCCAGAGGAAACUCGUGGACAUAGGAGGAACAUGUGAAACUCCACACAGACAGUAUCUCCAGCCCAUGAUUGAAGCAGGGACCCUGGAGCUGGAACUGCUACCCAUCCUGUUUCCUCAUGCUCACCACAGUAUCUCUUGCCAUAGCUAAAAUACUUAUGGCAAAAUUACUAAUGUUGCCACUAGGUGUGAAUAAGUGUGCGAAUGUGUGUGUGUGCAUGGUGCCAAGCAACGGAGUGGCAUCCCAUCCAGGGUGUAUUCCCACCCUGGAGGUUCUCCGGAUCCACUGAGACCUUGACAUCCUGAACAUGGAUAAACGAAUAAAUCUCUAAUUGCACCAAAAUCGAUCUUUUUCAUUACAAAUCUAGAUCUCAGAUGCAAAUUUUAGUGUGACUAAAUAAUAGUAAUUCUAAUUUAAUGGCAUGGUUGUAUUUGAUGGAAUUUGAUGUUAUUUCCUUUGUCAAUUUGAUUAUGUAAACAGAUACCAUGAUAUCUCAAAACUGCAGUAUGGGGAUAUCUGGUUUUCAUAUUGUGAAUUAUUUAACAAUGACUCUCAAUGAUUUUAAGGGUGUGAUAUGUGGAGCAGGGAUAAAUGCUGAGCAAAUGAAAUCAACAAGGGAUAUUUUUCAGUGUGUAUGCAUGGGGACUGGAUCCUGUGGGAGAAAACCGAAAAGUUGUGAGAGUGAGCCGCUUUUCCUUACAGAUAUGAAGCUUUGGGCCAAAGAAAGACCACCUUGGUUAAUUGGAGCGUAUUGGGAUAUGGAGCAGUGCUUGCUUGUGGGUGUUGUUCUGCAAGUUUUCCACAUCUAGAGUAAAUUGAGCUUCAUUCAUUCAUUCAUCUUAACCAACUGUUUUAUCCUGGGCAAAAUUUGCUGUGGUUUAAACGACUAACUUUCUUUCUUUCUUUCUUUUUUUCUUUCUUUCUUUCUUUCUUUCUU